GAUGAACGCUGGCGGCGUGCCUAAUACAUGCAAGUCGAGCGAACAGACGAGGAGCUUGCUCCUCUGACGUUAGCGGCGGACGGGUGAGUAACACGUGGAUAACCUACCUAUAAGACUGGGAUAACUUCGGGAAACCGGAGCUAAUACCGGAUAAUAUGUUGAACCGCAUGGUUCAAUAGUGAAAGACGGUUUUGCUGUCACUUAUAGAUGGAUCCGCGCCGCAUUAGCUAGUUGGUAAGGUAACGGCUUACCAAGGCAACGAUGCGUAGCCGACCUGAGAGGGUGAUCGGCCACACUGGAACUGAGACACGGUCCAGACUCCUACGGGAGGCAGCAGUAGGGAAUCUUCCGCAAUGGGCGAAAGCUUGACGGAGCAACGCCGCGUGAGUGAUGAAGGUCUUCGGAUCGUAAAACUCUGUUAUUAGGGAAGAACAAAUGUGUAAGUAACUAUGCACGUCUUGACGGUACCUAAUCAGAAAGCCACGGCUAACUACGU
rnacentral:rRNA from 1 species